UGUUCUGUAGCUAAGUUGGUUAAAGCACCGGACUAGUGAUACGAAGUCGUGGGUUUGAAUCCAACCUGACCGA
rnacentral:tRNA from 1 species